UACAGAGGUCUCAAGCGUUGUUCGGAUUCAUUGGGCGUAAAGGGUGCGUAGGCGGGUCUUUAAGGCAGGGGUGAAAUCCUGGAGCUCAACUCCAGAACUGCCUUUGAUACUGAAGAUCUUGAGUUCGGGAGAGGUGAGUGGAACUGCGAGUGUAGAGGUGAAAUUCGUAGAUAUUCGCAAGAACACCAGUGGCGAAGGCGGCUCACUGGCCCGAUACUGACGCUGAGGCACGAAAGCGUGGGGAGCAAACAGG
rnacentral:rRNA from 1 species